CCCUUAGAUGUUCUGGGCAGCACGCGCGCUACAAUGGUCUUCGCAAACGGAUGCAUUCUCGAAGGAGAAUGCCAAUCUUGGAAUCUAUGCCUUGGUCGGGACAGUUGCUCGCAAUUUUUCGACUCGAACCAGGAAUUCCUUGUAAUCGUGAUUCAUCACAUCACGAUGAAUACGUCCCUGCCCUUUGUACGCACCGCCCGUCGCUCCUACCGAUCGAAGAGUUAGGUGAAUUGUUUUGAUCGAUAAGAUUUGACUAUGGUCAACUCUCGUUGUGAAAUUCUGUGAAUCUGACUGUUUAGAGGAAGGAAAAGUCGUAACA
rnacentral:rRNA from 1 species